rnacentral:rRNA from 1 species
UACGUAGGGUGCGAGCGUUAAUCGGAAUUACUGGGCGUAAAGCGUGCGCAGGCGGUUCGUUAUGUCCGAUGUGAAAGCCCCGAGCUUAACUUGGGAAUGGCAUUGGAAACUGGCGGGCUGGAGUGCGGCAGAGGGGGGGUGGAAUUCCACGUGUAGCAGUGAAAUGCGUAGAGAUGUGGAGGAACACCGAUGGCGAAGGCAGCCCCCUGGGUCAAGAUUGACGCUCAUGCACGAAAGCGUGGGGAGCAAACAGGGA